rnacentral:rRNA from 1 species
UACGUAGGGGGCGAGCGUUGUCCGGAUUUACUGGGCGUAAAGAGCGCGUAGGCGGAAAUUUAAGCGUGGCCUGAAAGCCCCCGGCUCAACCGGGGAGUGCGGCUGCGAACUGGGUUUCUUGAGGACGAUAGAGGAGAGUGGAAUUCCUGGUGUAGCGGUGAAAUGCGUAGAUAUCAGGAGGAACACCCGAGGCGAAGGCGGCUCUCUGGGUCGUACCUGACGCUGAGGCGCGAAAGCGUGGGGAGCGAACGGG